ACUCAGUGAAAUUGAACUCGCUGUGAAGAUGCAGUGUACCCGCGGCAAGACGGAAAGACCCCGUGAACCUUUACUAUAGCUUGACACUGAACAUUGAGCCUUGAUGUGUAGGAUAGGUGGGAGGCUUUGAAGUGUGGACGCCAGUCUGCAUGGAGCCGACCUUGAAAUACCACCCUUUAAUGUUUGAUGUUCUAACGUUGACCCGU
rnacentral:rRNA from 1 species